AACGAACGCUGGCGGCAGGCCUAACACAUGCAAGUCGAACGGUGCAGCAAUGCAUAGUGGCGCACGGGUGAGUAACACGUGGGAACGUGCCUUUUGGUUCGGAACAACUUGGGGAAACUUAAGCUAAUACCGGAUGUGCCCUUAGGGGGAAAGAUUUAUCGCCAUUAGAGCGGCCCGCGUCUGAUUAGCUAGUUGGUGGGGUAAAGGCCUACCAAGGCGACGAUCAGUAGCUGGUCUGAGAGGAUGAUCAGCCACAUUGGGACUGAGACACGGCCCAAACUCCUACGGGAGGCAGCAGUGGGGAAUCUUGCGCAAUGGGCGAAAGCCUGACGCAGCCAUGCCGCGUGAAUGAUGAAGGUCUUAGGAUUGUAAAAUUCUUUCACCGGGGACGAUAAUGACGGUACCCGGAGAAGAAGCCCCGGCUAACUUCGUGCCAGCAGCCGCCGUAACAC
rnacentral:rRNA from 1 species